GUACUUGAUUCAGCGGUACAUAUAUGUACCAAAAUUGGAAUGAUACAAAGAAGAUUAGCAUGGCCCCUGUGCAAGGCUGACAUGCGAAGUCGUGAAGCGUUCAAUACAAUU